GCGCGCAUGUGUGCCCCGCCAAAAGCAGGGAAGGGGCGACAGAGAACGACGAUACUGGUGGAUGAACACCGACGACGACCUAUAGUUCUUGCCUCCUUGGAGACGGGCCUCAAGAACAUCGCAGAGAGGCAGGCCUCCUCCUCUACUGCUUCAUCCCCUUCUCCUGCCUUGUCGCCGAUCAAGAAUCCAUCGCACCUUCUCCCAUCCCGUCGCGGAUCAAGAAUCCAUUGCAGCUUCUCUCGUCCCCUCGCCGAUCAAGAAUCCAUAGCAGCUUCUCCCGUCCCGUCGCUGAUAAAAAAUCCAUCCCGUUUACCUUCCCCUUUCAAAGGGCUCUCCAUCAACAUCUUUUGGCAUUCCCCUGGGAAGAUCGCUGCAGAAUCCCCCUAAAAUACUGUAAGACAUAUCCCCCUCACUCUCACGUUCUCCCUCUCUAUCUUUCCCUGUGCAUGUAAUUGUCUUCAUCGCUGUCGUCGUCUUCGUCUUCUUCCCUCGAGAAAUUGUUCGUUACUCAAGGUUUCAAACCCUUUGCGAUCUGCUGUGGCUAAAAUUCCUUCGAGCCAUCGUCAGCUUCGCUGCCGUCCUCGUCUUUAAGAAAUUCUUGGCUCCUUUGUGGUUAUGGGUUUCUCAAACCCAAGGCAAUACUGCUUCUCCUGAAAUGCGUUCAUAUCACAUUCACAUCAUCUUGCUGUAUGAAGAUUUUCAAACACUGGCCCCGUCAUCUGCCUUGUCAAUAAUUUUGAGGAACGAAGAAGAGGACCUCUCUCCGCGCGUUUUUUUGAAUUUCACUGCGGGUUCUCUCGCCCCUCACUCUCUUCCAUUUCCGUCCCUCUCUUUAUCUUCAUCCGCGUCAUUCAACCGCCGCAUCGACGACACGCGCUCGCCGCUGCACGAGUUUCAGACGGACCCAGCGCCCUCGGGCUCCACGGCUCUGUACGGCACCACCACCGUCUGUCUAUGUCUUUGCUCUUUGCUGCUGCAGCUCUGUUUCCAGCGCUCCGCCUAAUCGCUGCUAUGGCCCUCCACCGCUCUUACGGUUUGGGUUUUGGGAUUGCUUCCAAAAGGAUAGAGAACAUAUAUGAUCUAGAGUGAUGCCUUGAUUGGAAUUGAAGUACAAAAUUUUUUCCCAGCUGCCACACGUGAAUAUGCUCCAUUAGUGGAUGCGGUCUUUGAUGCUUCAGAAUGUUUUUCGUGCUCCUUGAACCUAUGUAAGCAUGUCUCUAAGUGGUAUAAAGGGAAUUAGUGAGUUGCAGAAUAUAUCUUCCUUCAAUUCCCAGUAUCUCUUUCUCAAACCACCUACGAAAGUCAGGAAUGUGGCUAUGGCGAGUAGGAUGAUGGAAGGCUCUGUAUUAAUGUUUACAACCCCACAGCUUGACUGUGACUCGAAUGGAAUCCUCUCCAGACGACUCUUUCCUGUUAGUAUUCUCAAGAGAUCGUGAUUUUUCUGUUUUCUCAAUAGCAGGAGAUGGGGUACAUGAGGUCGGUCUUAAACUUGUUGGAAAGGUUGAAGCACAUCAGUGAAUCGUAUGGGCUUGCUUAAGAACCCACUUGGCCACCUGCAUGAUUGAGCAAUUGAUUGGAAAGGGCUGCUGCUCACGAAACUUGAACCAGUAACAGGCCGCCUACCAGCUGCUAGCUCAAGCAGGUGCCCGGAACGACUUAAUCCAGCGCGAGAUCUCUAAGAUGCAGAAAUCAUGUCCAUUCAAAAUCCUAAACUACAGGAAGUUUCGCACUCUUAGGCUGCUAUUGCUUCAUCUUUAUGGAAAGCGAACGUUUGAAAAGCAAUAAGGAAUCCAUACGUAUUGGACUAUAUGCACGUAAGGUCAUCAUCCACAUUGACUUCUAUAGAUGGUGACAAUAUUAUUACUCUUAAAAUUGGGCCACUCCUUGCAUGUCAUUGAACCGACCAAGACCGCCAAGCAACGAUCGACUUGGCUAUUCAUUGAAUGUAUUUUAUCGGCACAUACAAAUACAAUCGCCUUUGACAUGGGUUAUCAGUGCACUGAUUAAGAACCAAAAUCGUUGCUGAGAUGUACA